ACAACCGGCUGACGUGGGGAAACUGAGGCUUUGGAAGGGUGGCCAGUCAGGUCCCAGCAUACUCAGUUGAGAGGACCCCUCCCCCACCCCCCCACUCUCAAGCCCUUUCUUUGAUUCCAGGUUGUGCAUUUCCUUGCUGUGUGACCCUAAAGCAGUCACUUUCCCUCUCUGAGCCUCUCUUUCCUCCCUCAGCAAAUGGCCAGAAUAAAGGGACCUGCCUCCCAGCUUUGGCUUUGAGGGUUCAACGAGUUAGGCACUGGCCAAGAGAAAUUGCUUAAUAAUUAGAAGCUGGUUUUUAUUGCUGUGUGACCUUAGGCAAGUAGCUUAACUUCUCUGAGCAUAUAAAAAGGAUCUGGUCUGGUGCUGGGGACGCAGCAGUGAAAGAGGCCGACCGACAGCCUGGACCUCGUGGAAGUCACAGUUGAAGGGGGGAGACCUGGGUUGCUUCAUGAUGAAUCACACCUGCAAACUCCAAUUCAUGUCGAAUUUGGCUAAGUGAGGGAGGCGUAAAAGGGGCAUGGAAAGAACACUCUCAUCACCCCAAAAGGAAGUUCCAUCCCACGAACAGUCCGCUCCCUAUCGUGCUCCCCACCGGUCCCCGUCACCGCCAUCCCGCUUUCUGUCUCUGUGGGUUUACCGGUUCUGAACAUUUCAUAUAAAAGGAAUUAUACGCUA